GUACACGCUGUGACUAGCAUAUCAAUAAGCGGAGGAAAAGAAACUAACAAGGAUUCCCCUAGUAACGGCGAGUGAAGGCGGGAAGAGCUCAAAUUUGAAAUCUUAAAGGGUUUCCCUUUACGAAUUGUAGUUUAAAGAAGUGUUUUUCUGUUGAGGUUUUGGUAAAAGUUCUUUGGAAUAGGACAUCAUAGAGGGUGAGAAUCCCGUAUUUGACCUUUACUUUCAACUUUGUGAUACACUUUCAAAGAGUCGGAUUGUUUGGGAAUGCAGUCCUAAAAUGGGUGGUAAAUUUCAUCUAAAGCUAAAUAUUGGCGAGAGACCGAUAGCGAACAAGUACCGUGAGGGAAAGAUGAAAAGAACUUUGAAAAGAGAGUUAAACAGUACGUGAAAUUGUCAAAAGGGAAGCGUUUGACACCAGUGUUGUUUUUUCUGAAAAUCAAUUAAAGAACUGUUUAUGCUAAGUUGUUUAGACUUUAUCAGCUAAUCUGUUUAGUUUUGAGCUUUUCUUUAAUGCACUUUUCAGUUAACAAGUCAACAUCAAUUUCUUUUGCUGUAAAAAAAGCUUGAGGAAGGUGGCUUGAGAUUCGUCUUAAGUGGUUUAUAGCCUCUUGCCUAUGCAGGUCGGAGAGAUUGAGGUCUGCAGCGUAGAUCCCUUCGGGGCUAAAUGCAUUUGUGCUAAGUUAUAGCAUUUUAUAGACAACUUGUUGACUAUGAUUUGUCUUGUAGCUUACUCGCUUAUGUUAUUUUACCUACGCUUAGGAUGUUGAAGAUGUAGCACAUCAU
rnacentral:rRNA from 1 species